rnacentral:rRNA from 1 species
AGUGAACGCUGGCGGUAGGCCUAACACAUGCAAGUCGAACGGCAGCACAGUAAGAGCUUGCUCUUACGGGUGGCGAGUGACGGACGGGUGAGGAAUACAUCGGAAUCUACUUUUUCGUGGGGGAUAACGUAGGGAAACUUACGCUAAUACCGCAUACGACCUACGGGUGAAAGCAGGGGAUCUUCGGACCUUGCGCGAUUGAAUUAGCCGAUGUCGGAUUAGCUAGUUGGCGGGGUAAAGGCCCACCAAGGCGACGAUCCGUAGCUGGUCUGAGAGGAUGAUCAGCCACACUGGAACUGAGACACGGUCCAGACUCCUACGGGAGGCAGCAGUGGGGAAUAUUGGACAAUGGGCGCAAGCCUGAUCCAGCCAUCCCGCGUGGGUGAAGAAGGCCUUCGGGUUGUAAAGCCCUUUUGUUGGGAAAGAAAAGCAGCAGGUUAAUACCCCGCUGUUCUGACGGUACCCAAAGAAUAAGCACCGGCUAACUUCGUG